CAAGAUGACUUGCAGGAGAAUGGGUAUAGUUGGCUAGUUGUAGGCUGGGCUGUAUACACAUUUGACCCGAACCAUAGAAAUGCAGAUCAGUACAGUACCCACCGGGUGGGAACUCAUCCAAAAUAGAGAUAGUUUGCUCUGGAGCACUGCAGAGAAGUCUGUGUAGAGACUGGAAGUGGAAAGUGUGGAUGAAUACAACUUUGGAACAGGAGAUGGACUCUUUGCUCUGUUGAGCAUGUGACUGCCUUUGCAGCUGCCAACAUGGGGACCUCCAGUGUUACCUCACAAAAAUAAAGCCAUGUUUGCAGUAUCAUAUUUCCCUUACAAUGUCUUGGGUCUCUAUUCAGGAAAAUAAAGGUGUUGCCACAGAAAACAGAAUUGGAUAUUCAGAAAAUGAAGUGACAGCUCAGGAUCUCAUGGACAAGCCAAAAGACAGCUCCGAGAAGGGGGAGGUGGAAAUAACCUCAACCAAAACAGAAUGAAACAGAGAAGGAAGUUGCAUCAGAAGAGGAAGAAUGCCAAUGUCAUGUUGAAGAGCCACAAAUGUCACAAAACAAAAAUAAAACGUGGGACUCUUGUUUUAUCUAGUCAAAUACAAUUAACAUAUUUUCUUCCUCAGAGCAUUAUUAAAAUCACUGAAAAUUACUGAAAUGAGUGUAGCAAACAGGGAGAACACAGAAAAACACAAACAAAAAAUUGAUUUUUUUUAAUGUUACAUACAUCAUACUUUAUUUGGGUUAGUGAGGGAUUAUAAUUUUGUCUUUUACCUCCAUAUACAAGUUUCUCUUCUCCAGUACUUAAAAAAAUAUAUAUUAGGAGCUCCUGGGUGGCUCAGUGGUUUGGGCUGCUGCCUUUGGCUCGGGUCAUGAUCUCAGGGUCCUGGGAUCGAGUCCCGCAUCGGGCUCUCUGCUCCGCAGGAAGCCUGCUUCUCUCUCUCUCUCUCUCUCUCUCUCUCUGCCUGCCUCUCUGCCUACUUGUGAUCUCUGUCUGU